rnacentral:misc_RNA from 1 species
AACGCACGAGACCUGCGGACCUGCGGAAGGAUCAUUACCGAGUUAUCCAACUCCCAACCCCUGUGAAUUAUACCUUUAAUUGUUGCUUCGGCGGGACUUCGCGCCCGCCGGGGACCCAAACCUUCUGAAUUUUUUAAUAAGUAUCUUCUGAGUGGUUAAAAAAUGAAUCAAAACUUUCAGCAAUGGAUCUCU